rnacentral:rRNA from 1 species
UACGUAGGGUGCAAGCGUUAAUCGGAAUUACUGGGCGUAAAGCGUGCGCAGGCGGUUGUGUAAGUCGGAUGUGAAAUCCCUCGGCUCAACCAAGGAAGUGCAUCCGAAACUGCUGAGCUUGAGUACGAAAGAGGAUCGCGGAAUUCCCGGUGUAGAGGUGAAAUUCGUAGAUAUCGGGAGGAACACCAGUGGCGAAGGCGGCGAUCUGGGUCGAUACUGACGCUGAGGUGCGAAAGCGUGGGGAGCAAACAGG